rnacentral:rRNA from 1 species
AUUGAACGCUGGCGGCAGGCCUAACACAUGCAAGUCGAGCGGAUGAAGGGAGCUUGCUCCUGGAUUCAGCGGCGGACGGGUGAGUAAUGCCUAGGAAUCUGCCUGGUAGUGGGGGAUAACGUCCGGAAACGGGCGCUAAUACCGCAUACGUCCUGAGGGAGAAAGUGGGGGAUCUUCGGACCUCACGCUAUCAGAUGAGCCUAGGUCGGAUUAGCUAGUUGGUGGGGUAAAGGCCUACCAAGGCGACGAUCCGUAACUGGUCUGAGAGGAUGAUCAGUCACACUGGACAUGAGACACGGUCCAGACUCCUACGGGAGGCAGCAGUGGGGAUAUUGGACAAUGGGCGAAAGCCUGAUCCAGCCAUGCCGCGUGUGUGAAGAAGGUCUUCGGAUUGUAAAGCACUUUAAGUUGGGAGGAAGGGCAGUAAGUUAAUACCUUGCUGUUUUGACGUUACCAACAGAAUAAGCACCGGCUAACUUCGU